AGCCUGAACUCAAAAGGAAUUGACGGGGGGCCCGCACAAGCGGUGGAGCAUGUGGUUUAAUUCGAUGAUACGCGAGGACCUUACCAAGGCUUAAAUGUAGAUUGACCGAUUUGGAAACAGAUCUUUCGCAAGACAAUUUACAAGGUGCUGCAUGGUUGUCGUCAGCUCGUGCCGUGAGGUGUCAGGUUAAGUCCUAUAACGAGCGCAACCCCUGUUGUUAGUUGCCAGCGAGUCAUGUCGGGAACUCUAACGAGACUGCCAGGGCAAACUGUGAGGAAGGUGGGGAUGACGUCAAAUCAUCACGGCCCUUACGCCUUGGGCUACACACGUGCUACGAUGGCCGGUACAGAGAGCAGCCACCUCGCGAGGGGGAGCGAAUCUAUAAAACCGGUCACAGUUCGGAUCGGAGUCUGCAACUCAACUCCGUGAAGCUGGAAUCGCUAGUAAUCGGAUAUCAGCCAUGAUCCGGUGAAUACGUUCCCGGGCCUUGUACACACCGCCCGUCAAGCCAUGGAAGCUGGGGGUGCCUGAAGUCGGUGACCGCAAGGAGCUGCCUAGGGUAAAACUGGUAACUAGGGCUAAGUCGUAACAAGGUAACAAGUCGUAGAGUUUGAUCAUGGCU
rnacentral:rRNA from 1 species